rnacentral:lncRNA from 1 species
GCCUUUCCAUGCUGCCUUCCCUUUAUUAAAGUGUUCUGAUGCUGCAAAUUACAAAAACACUUAUGGCUUAUGAAAUUCUCAUUACCCCAAACCCCUUUGCCCUUAAUUGUUAGUGUGGUAAUGCGUGAUGGCAAGAAACAGACUCUGACAUUUUGAAGAGGCAUAGUACUAAUGCUAUGGCUUGUGGCAGCUCUUUUAUUAAAAGUCUCACUGUUCCUUUCCAGUGACUCCCUAAUUAGCUCAGGCUCUGGCCCAGAGGACUGUACGUGGCUGUAUUUAACUGCCUGGAAAGUGGCUCUGAAAAGAUGCUGGCUCAGCGGUGCUGCUGUUUACCUGAUUCUUUGGUAUGAACUCUCCUGAGCCCAAGAGUCAUUUGGCAACAACUUGGGUCAGAAGUCCUCCCUUCCCAGUCCACCACCUCACCCAGCCACUGGGGGGCUGAGUUUGUCCAGAUCAGGUAAGACCUGAGCUAGUACCUGGUGUAGCCCCUGGUCUCCCCCAACCGCCCUCCCUCUGUGAUUUCAUGUAUUUAUCCUUUGGUUCUAUUUAU